GAAACCAACAGGGAUUGCCCUAGUAACGGCGAGUGAAGCGGCAACAGCUCAAAUUUGAAAUCUGGCCCUUGGGUCCGAAUUGUAAUUUGUAGAGGAUGUUUUUGGUGCGGUAUCUUCCGAGUUCCUUGGAACAGGACGCCUUAGAGGGUGAGAGCCCCGUACGGUUGAAUGCCUAGCCUUUGUAAAACUCCUUCGACGAGUCGAGUAGUUUGGGAAUGCUGCUCUAAAUGGGAGGUAAAUUUCUUCUAAAGCUAAAUACUGGCCAGAGACCGAUAGCGCACAAGUAGAGUGAUCGAAAGAUGAAAAGCACUUUGAAAAGAGGGUUAAAUAGCACGUGAAAUUGUUGAAAGGGAAGGAUUUAUGACCAGACUUUUUCUAAGCGGAUCAUCCGGUGUUCUCACCGGUGCACUUCGUUUAGUUUAGGCCAGCAUCGAUUUUCGGUGGGGGAUAAAAGCUUUAGGAAUGUGGCUCUUCGGAGUGUUAUAGCCUAUUGUAUAAUACCCUGCUGGGGAUCGAGGUACGCGCUUCUGCAAGGAUGCUGGCGUAAUGGUUAUCAAUCACCCGUCUUGAAACACGGACCAAGGAGUCGAACAUUUGUGCAAGUGUUUGGGUGUUAAACCCUCACGCGUAAUGAAAGUGAACGGAGGUGAGAGCCCUUACGGGUGCAUCAUCGACCGAUCCUGAUGUUUUCGGAUGGAUUUGAGUAAGAGCAUAACUGUUCGGACCCGAAAGAUGGUGAACUAUGCGUGGAUAGGGUGAAGCCAGAGGAAACUCUGGUGGAGGCUCGCAGCGGUUCUGACGUGCAAAUCGAUCGUCAAAUCUGCGCAUGGGGGCGAAAGACUAAUCGAACCAUCUAGUAGCUGGUUACCG
rnacentral:rRNA from 1 species